rnacentral:lncRNA from 1 species
UAUUUUAUUAAAGAUCAAACACUGAAACUGCUCUCUGGUAUGUAGUUCUGAGGUUUAGUCCUGUUCCUGUUUUCAUCUGCUCCAGAAGGCAAACGUGGCAUGUGGAGAUCAUUGUAUGGCAUAACUGAUCACAGCUCGAAGCAUUUGUCUCAUAUAAGCCACAUACAUGCAAAAGUUUUAUACAGAACCGAACUAAACAACUAUCAACAUCAAAGUUUUAUUAAAUGAAACCAGAGCAAUGCACAGAGGUUGUCAGGAAGAUGGAAGUAGCUAUGAAGUGUUGGUAAGAAACAUGGGCUGCCGAUAUAAUUAAAACACAUGCACAAAAACUUUAAAUAAGUCUAAUGUGUUUUGUUCAUCUUAGCUGGCCACAAGGCCAAAUCACCUUUUUUUCCCCAGCAAGGAUACAAUAACCAUAUUGUAGCCAACUGCUUCUUAAGUGUUUGUAUCUGAUAUAUAACAUUUAACUGAACUUACAGCUAGGGAGCUUUUAUUUCAUCUCAUUGAGAACGUUAAUCUUCACUGACACUAGUUUUAAUGUUUGACAGCAUGCUGAAUGUGCUCUGUUGUUGUGUAACUUGAACCUAACAUUGCACGCGUGGUUUAUAAGUGACCAGAGAUACAUUUUUGUAAAGUAAUGGAAACUCAAGCUUGCUCGUGAGCGCGCUCUAGAGGCGGAGCUUUGCUGAAACUAAACCGCACGUGCGAAUUAUUGCCGCUUAUGUCAAGAUCGACGAUGUUCCAUCGACGUCUUAUGUUCCAUCGACGAUGUGCUUAACAGUACGUGUUGAUUAUCAAUGCAUUUAAAAAAGAGGCUGUUUAUCUGAUUCAACCUAAUGAUGAGUUGACAGGAAAGGGGUGAAGGAGUUAUGGGCAGGUAACUACCGAUCUGUUCCAGACACGUUAACCUGAAACAAAUGCAUUUUCAAACGGAUUAUAUUUUGCUUGCUUUAUUUUACACUAGCCUACUUUAGGGUCGUAUAUGUCAUUCAGUCCGCUCAUGUCACACUGUUUUGUCUAAAAUGUUUUAGUGUUUCAUUGCAGCACUACCGGCAGUGUUUUGUUCUAACACGUUUGAUCAAGUCCAGCGGUUCGCGUUUGUAUUGCUAGUUAUGUUAUGCGUCAUGAAUUCAUGACUAAAUCGCGUCUUUGUCACUGUCAUGUAACAAUAUGCUAAAUAUCAAUAAUGCAAGAUGACGAGACACAGAAACAAGCUGUUUUUUCUACGUCACUAUACAACAAGACUCAUGCUUAUGUUAUAUGCUGUCACGUUACUUAAUUAAUAUUUAUAAUAUUAUUUUUACGUGUGACCAUUUUUUUAACAUUACUUUAUAAUAAUUGUCAUAAAUCCGGAUAUCAAGUAUGUAGACCAGUUGACCGAUAUUUGAAACUGAAAUGUAAUACCAAGCUAUGAAAUAAAUAUUUAAAAUAAUUUAAAUAUAGUUUUGAAAUAUAUAUUUUCCAUAUUGUUCCUCAUCCUAAAUGUUUACAAAUUCAUAUCUGGCAAUAAGGGGUGCUCCGAUUGAUCGGCUACUGAUCACGGGAUGUUUGAUCUGCAGUACUUUUUUUGAAAAAUUAAUUUACAUAUACAAACAUAAAAAUGUAUAAAGUGUAUUUAGUGGAGGAAAUUAUAUUUAGGG